rnacentral:rRNA from 1 species
CAGGGGGAUAACACUUAGAAAUAGGUGCUAAUACCGCAUAACAACAGAAAGCGCAUGCUUUUUGUUGAAAACCAAGGUGGUAUGGGAUGGACCCGCGUCUGAUUAGCUGGUUGGCGGGGUAAAGGCCCACCAAGGCGACGAUCAGUAGCCGGCCUGAGAGGGUGGACGGCCACAUUGGGACUGAGACACGGCCCAAACUCCUACGGGAGGCAGUAGUGGGGAAUAUUGCACAAUGGGGGAAACCCUGAUGCAGCGACGCCGCGUGAGUGAAGAAGUAAUUCGUUAUGUAAAGCUCUAUCAGCAGGGAAGAAAAUGACGGUACCUGAGUAAGAAGCCCCGGCUAACUACGUGCCAGCAGCCGCGGUAAUACGUAGGGGGCAAGCGUUAUCCGGAUUUACUGGGUGUAAAGGGAGCGUAGACGGCAGUGCAAGUCUGGAGUGAAAGGCGGGGGCUCAACCCCCGGACUGCUCUGGAAACUGUACGGCUGGAGUGCAGGAGAGGUAAGUGGAAUUCCUAGUGUAGCGGUGAAAUGCGUAGAUAUUAGGAGGAACACCAGUGGCGAAGGCGGCUUACUGGACUGUAACUGACGUUGAGGCUCGAAAGCGUGGGGAGCAAACAGGAUUAGAUACCCUGGUAGUCCACGCCGUAAACGAUGAUAACGAGGUGUCGGGGGUUAAAGAACCUUCGGUGCCGCAG